UACGGAAGGCAGCAGUGGGGAAUAUUGCACAAUGGGCGCAAGCCUGAUGCAGCCAUGCCGCGUGUAUGAAGAAGGCCUUCGGGUUGUAAAGUACUUUCAGCGGGGAGGAAGGCGAUGCGGUUAAUAACCGCGUCGAUUGACGUUACCCGCAGAAGAAGCACCGGCUAACUCCGUGCCAGCAGCCGCGGUAAUACGGAGGGUGCAAGCGUUAAUCGGAAUUACUGGGCGUAAAGCGCACGCAGGCGGUCUGUUAAGUCAGAUGUGAAAUCCCCGGGCUUAACCUGGGAACUGCAUUUUGAACUGGCAGGCUUGAGUCUUGUAGAGGGGGUAGAAUUCCAGGUGUAGCGGUGAAAUGCGUAGAGAUCUGGAGGAAUACCGGUGGCGAAGGCGGCCCCUGGGACAAAGCUGACGCUCAGGUGCGAAAGCGUGGGGAGCAAACAGGGAUUAGGAUACC
rnacentral:rRNA from 1 species